rnacentral:rRNA from 1 species
UACGGAGGGUGCAAACGUUGUUCGGAAUCAUUGGGCGUAAAGCGCACGUAGGCGGCUCGUUAAGUCGGCUGUGAAAGUCCUGGGCUCAACCCAGGAAGUGCAUACGAAACUGGCGAGCUUGAAUAUGGAAGAGGGUCGCGGAAUUCCCGGUGUAGAGGUGAAAUUCGUAGAUAUCGGGAGGAACACCAGUGGCGAAGGCGGCGACCUGGGCCAAUAUUGACGCUGAGGUGCGAAAGCGUGGGGAGCAAACAGG